CCCCCCCCCCCCCCCCCCCCCCCCCCCCCCCCCCCCCCCCCCCCCCCCCCCCCCCCCCCCCCCCCCCCCCCCCCCCCCCCCCCCCCCCCCCCCCCCCCCCCCCCCCCCCCCCGGGGCUCCGUUUUGGUUCCGGGGCAGCGGCUCCUUCCUGCGGGCGGGCGGUGCAGCAGAGCCCGGCUCGGCUCGGCUCGGCUCUGCCCGGCUCGGCUCGGCCCGGCCCGGCCCGGCCCGGCCCGGCAGCAUGUGAGCCCGCGGGGCGGGGAUGCUCUGGCUGCUCUGCGGCCCCCCCGGCGCCAUGGACAGCCAGGCGCUCGUCAUCCGCAUCCACAUCCCCGACGGAGCCGCCGUGGACUGGACCGUGCACUCCGCGCCGCAGCUGCUCUUCAGGGAUGUGCUGUGAAGCUUCCUGAGAACUUCUGAGUGAGAGAGAAGUGAAAAGAUGAAGAAGGAGGGCAAGCCAGGCAAACUUGGAGCUUGGAACAGCUCAGAGCUCGAGGUUUUUCACUGCUGAGAUGGUUUUAAACAGGAAUCUGUUGGAGAACAGGCAGAGAGACCAUGCCAGGAUCAAACUUUGCUGGUUUUGCUCGUGUUCAGUGAUGACAGAAUUGGAGAGUGAUUUGGGUUGGAAGGAGCCUUAAACCCAUCCCCUUCCUCCCCCUGCCACCAGGGACACCUCCCACUGUCCCAGGGUGUCCAGCCUGGCCUGGGGACCCUGUGCCUCUGUUUGUGCCCUGUCACACCUGUGCUGGUGACAAUUCCCAGGUAUCCCCUGCUGGGCUGUUGCACUGAGGUGCUGAUGCCAUCACAGCAUUCACCUGCACUUCAUCGGUCAGAUAAAUGCAGGAAUUAAAUGGAAUAAGGCUCCAAUCCACCUGGAGUGGUGGGGCAGGUAAAUACAGAAAUUAAAUCAAAUAAGGCUCCAAUCCACACAGGGGUCGUGCAGCAGGUAAAUACAGGAAUUAAAUGAAUCCACCUGGAGUGGUGGGAUGCCAUCACAGCAUUCACCUGCACUUCAUCGGUCAGAUAAAUGCAGGAAUUAAAUGGAAUAAGGCUCCAAUCCACCUGGAGUGGUGGGGCAGGUAAAUACAGAAAUUAAAUUAAAUUAAAUAAGGCUGUGACCCACCUGGAGUGCUGGGUCUGCCACCACCUGGGGCUGAGCCUUGUCCUUCUGUCCUCAGGGUGAUUCCUCUCACCUGGCAGCAGUUCCAGGGGGUUUAUGAGCUGCAGGGACAAUGAAAGAGUCAAUCAGUGAGCUGAGCUAAAUCAGUGUGAUCAGUAAUCCAUCAGGUGAGCUAAAUCAGUGUGAUCAGUAAUCCAUCAGGUGAGAUAAAUCAGUGGGAUCAGUAAUCCAUCAGCCCCCACUCGUGCCUGUGCCUCCCCAAACAGCAGCCACAGAAAUGCUCUGGAAUUUUCUCCAGGCUCUGAACAAUCCGCUCUGUGUCCCAAGGAGUUUUUGGCAAGUGCUGUCCUGCUGGAGCUGCACAACCACAUUUGGGGCCAUUCCCAAAAAACCCCGAAGCAGGUGCAGUUCCCAGAGCCUGUACCUAUGAGAGCUGAAUGAGCUGUGCAAGAAGGCUGCUCUUCCUCCAAGCUGGGUCCCACUUUGUGUCCAAAAAGCCCCAUCAAAUUAUCUUUGAGGCCAGCAGGGUUUUAUUCUAUAUUUUUAGGUGGUUUUUAAGCUGAUUUUUGUGAGUUUUGCCUCCCAGUGAGUGCAGCCUUGCAGCAUUUCAGGCUGGUGUGAAAGUUCCUUUUUAUCCUCAUUUUUCAUGAUGUCACUUGAAAUAAAUUCUCUGUGUAUCAGCUUUGCAGGCCUGUAAGUUACCAGUAAAUAGCUUUAUUUUUAAGGCCCCA
rnacentral:lncRNA from 1 species